rnacentral:rRNA from 1 species
AUGGGCGCCGUGCUGCAGGUUGUGGGCGCGCCGGGGCCAGCGCCGGCGGGAACCGUGGCCGGCACGGGGCAGUUCGGCCUCGUGCUCUCCGACGGCGUGCACUCGCUGGAGGCGGUGCUGGACGUCACCAUGGACGGCCUCGUCACCGCCGGCCUCCUCCGCGCCGGCUCCGUUGUCCGAGUCCUCGACUACCUAUACAGCUAUGCCGCGAACCUAAGGGUCUUCGUUGUUUUCCAGCUCGAAAUACUGCAAGCUGAGUGCACGCUGAUCGGGAGUCCCACAAUCUAUGAGGUCAGUGACCCGAAGAACGGAUGCUAUUCUGAUAGACUGGGCAUACAUAGGCCUGACAUGAUCUCAAAGGUUCAGCAAGGUGUUACCAACAUAGCAUGUUCUCGUGAUCAAGGCUUGGCAGGUUCGUCUCGUGCUCCAAGGGUAGAGCAUGCUGUGAACAAUCUGCGUGGAUUUUAUGAUUUAGUGUCAGCCCAGAACACAAUAGAUGCCAAGAUGCAGCAGCUUUCACUGAGGAAUCAAGGCCAGGGGCUCGCGGCUCCUCCGACAAACUGGGAAGGCUUCGACUGUACCGGCAAUACAUACCGAACCAUUGCACAGAUCAAGGAUGAGAACUUUAGGAUGUCCAGUCAACCUGACUUGAUCACGGUUGUGGCUGCAGUUUCACAGGUAGACAGUGGUGCCUUCUGCUACCCAUCUUGCGCCUUGAUGUUCGACGGUGAGAAAUGCAAUAACAAGCUGAAAGUUGAUGGUGAUGGGUGGUGGUGCACCAGAUGCCUCUGGAGGUCCCAGACCUGCGAGUACCGGUACAUGCUCAACUGCCAAAUCAGUGACCAUACUGGUUCAACCAAUGCGACAGUCUUGCAGCAGGCUGCCGAGGAAAUAAUUGGCUACACAGCACAAGAACUCCUCAUGAUAAAAGAUGUCGAGAAAGACGGUGUAAAAUUUGAGGAAAUCAUGCAGGGUAUCCUUGGGCGUCAGUGUGUACUUAAGCUGAGAGUCGAGGGGCAUGGUGUAAUGACGAAGCGCAGCAUAGUUGAGGCUGAGAAGUUGGAGUCGCCGAAUACGAGCCAUCUCCUAGGGGCGAUCGGCAACCUGUUAAAGAGCGGUUCGUCCCCAACUCCAUGGCAGCAAGGUGGCCUGGCCCCAACCGCCCGUCGUCCCACAAAUCUGCAGGCACCUUUUAGAACUUCCAACAAUUCCUAUGGCAGCAUGAGGAGCACCAGGGGCGCAAGCUACGGGCGCCCCGCGGAUCAGCUUCCGCGUUUCUCUACUCCACCACCACCCUAUAGCAGCAUGAUGAGCACGGGUGGCGCAAGCUAUCUGCGCUCCCUCGCAGGUCAGCUUCCACACAUCUCUACGCCACCAUCAGCCUAUGGCAGCAUGAUGAGCACCGGUGGCGCAACCUACCGGCACAUGGCAUAUCGGCUUCCACAGAUUUUGUCUACCCCACCAUCAGCCUAUGGCAGCAUGAUGAGCACCGGUGGUGACGCAAGCUAUUGGUAUUGA